rnacentral:snRNA from 1 species
AAAUGUUACAGCUCUUGUAGAAUUUGUCUAGCAGGUUUUCCGGUCCUCACCAGAAGACCCUC